rnacentral:rRNA from 1 species
AGUGAACGCUGGCGGUAGGCCUAACACAUGCAAGUCGAACGGCAGCACAGUAAGAGCUUGCUCUUACGGGUGGCGAGUGGCGGACGGGUGAGGAAUACAUCGGAAUCUACUUUUUCGUGGGGGAUAACGUAGGGAAACUUACGCUAAUACCGCAUACGACCUACGGGUGAAAGCAGGGGAUCUUCGGACCUUGCGCGAUUGAAUGAGCCGAUGUCGGAUUAGCUAGUUGGCGGGGUAAAGGCCCACCAAGGCGACGAUCCGUAGCUGGUCUGAGAGGAUGAUCAGCCACACUGGAACUGAGAUACGGUCCAGACUCCUACGGGAGGCAGCAGUGGGGAAUAUUGGGCAAAGGGCGCAAGCCUGAUCCAGCCAUACCGCGUGGGUGAAGAAGGCCUUCGGGUUGUAAAGCCCUUUUGUUGGGAAAGAAAAGCAGCAGGUUAAUACCCCGCUGUUCUGACGGUACCCAAAGAAUAAGCACCGGCUAACUUCGUG